UGCAGUUUUUGGUUGUCCAACGAUAAAAAUUUCAAUAUGUUUUUUCUAAUAGUCCUCUUUCUAAAAGAACGAUGACAAUUUGUCGCAUGGAUUUUCAGUAAAGAUGACUGAAAUAUAAAAAUAAGUUUGAAAUUGUUUUUCCGUAUCAAGAAGGAAGUAUCCUAAUUGUGGCCGUAGCAGCAACUUGGCUCCAAAUUAGUUAUGCUGCUCCUUUGGUCACCACUGUUUUCUGCUGGGUGUUGUGCGGACGAUGAUUCAACUCCCCUGCCAUCAGGUUUUCGUUUAACGAAUGCCUUUACUAUUGGUUAAAUCAUUGAUAUUGUUCAGUUAAAUUCAACAUUACACUUGACCACUUAUUUGGU